GACGAACGCUGGCGGCGCGCUUAACACAUGCAAGUCGAACGGAAAGGCCCUGCUUUUGUGGGGUGCUCGAGUGGCGAACGGGUGAGUAACACGUGAGUAACCUGCCCUUGAAUAUGGGAUAACUUCAGGAAACUGGGGCAAAUACCGGAUAGGAGCUCCUGCUGAAUGGUGGGGGUUGGAAAGAUUCGGCGGUUGGGGAUGGACUCGCGGCGUAUCAGCCUGUUGGUGGGGUAGUGGCUUACAAAGGUUUUAACGGGUAGCAGGACUGAUAGGGUGACCGUCAACAUUGGGACUGAUAGACGUCCGAGACUCCUACGGAAGGCAGCAGUGGAGAAUAUUGCACAAUGGGCGGAAGCCUGAUGCAGCAACGCCGCGUGCGGGAUGACGGCCUUCUAGUUGUAUACCGCUUUCGCCUGUAUCGAAGCGUGAGUGACGUUAAUGGGUAAAGAAGCACCGGCUAAGUACGUG
rnacentral:rRNA from 1 species